GGAUUAGGCAUGCAAGUCGAGCGCUCAUAGCAAUAUGGGAGCGGCGAACGGCGUAGUAAUACGUAGGAACGUACCCUCGGGUCGAGGAUAGCUAUGGGAAACUGUAGGUAAUACUCGAUGACCUCUGCGGAGCAAAGGUGUGAUUCCGCCCGAGGAGCGGCUUACGCGAUAUUAGCUUGUUGGCGAGGUAACGGCUCACCAAGGCUGCGAUAUCUAGGGGGUGUGAGAGCAUGGCCCCCACCACUGGGACUGAGAUACUGCCCAGACACCUACGGGUGGCUGCAGUCGAGAAUCUUCCGCAAUGGACGAAAGUCUGACGGAGCGACGCCGCGUGCGGGAUGAAGGCCCUUGGGUUGUAAACCGCUGUCAGAGGGGAUGAAAUCGUCGGGGGUACUCCCCCGAUGUUGACAGAGCCUCAAAGGAAGCACGGGCUAAGUACGUGCCAGCAGCCGCGGUAAUA
rnacentral:rRNA from 1 species